rnacentral:rRNA from 1 species
UACGUAGGGGGCAAGCGUUAUCCGGAUUUACUGGGUGUAAAGGGAGCGUAGACGGCCAGACAAGUCUGAAGUGAAAAUCCAGCGCUUAACGUUGGAAGUGCUUUGGAAACUGCCGGGCUAGAGUGCAGGAGGGGCAGGCGGAAUUCCUAGUGUAGCGGUGAAAUGCGUAGAUAUUAGGAGGAACACCAGUGGCGAAGGCGGCUUUCUGGACUGAAACUGACGCUGAGGCACGAAAGCGUGGGGAGCGAACAGG